GGUUGCAGGCAACUUUCUCUUUGUGUGUGUGUGUCCUUGUGUGGCAGCUAGGGGCUCUCUUUGGUCCAGCCAGCGAUGCUGUUGCUGGUGCUGCUGGUGCUGCUGGGACCAUCCUUGACCCAUGGGAGUGAGGCAAGAAGGAAGACCUCUGCCCAUUUCCUCGUCCAGGACAAGCGCCAGUGCCACUUCACCAAUGGGACACGGCAGGUGUACUUGCUGGCCCGGUACAUCUACGACCGGCAGGAGAUCGCCCGAUUCGACAGCCGCCUCGGGGAAUACGUGGCCAUCACAGAGACCGAGGCGGCCGAUGUCCAGCUGUGGAACAGCAACAAGGCACGCCUGCAGUGGAUGCAGGGCGAGGUGGACCGGUUCUGCCGGUACAAAUACAGAGUCUUUGAGAAUGCGGUCACCACCAGGAAGGUUAAGCCCACAGUGAAAAUCUCCCUCAUGAAGCCUGAAUCUCUCGCCCACCAUUCCUUGCUGCUCUGCACCGCAUCAGGUUUUUACCCCUCGGAGAUUGAGAUCACGUGGCUGAAGAACGGGCAACAGGAAAAAGACGGGGUAGCCUACGGCGAGGAGCUCCAGAAUGGAGACUGGACUUACCAGACCCAGGUGAUGCUGGAGACGUUGGUCCAGCAAGGAGAUGUCUACACCUGCCAGGUGGAACACGUCAGCCUGGAGACCCCAAUCACCGUGCAGUGGGAGCCACGGAUGUCAGACGCUGCCAGGAUCAAAGUCUGGACAGGAGUCGUGGGGAUUGUACUGGGCAUGCUCUCUGUGGCAGUGGGACUCUACCUCUUCCUGAAGAAUAAGAAAGGAGAACAGGAUUCCUCUGAAGGAGUCUUUAUUCCUGGCGCACUAUGAGCCAUCCCAUGCAGCUGUCUCAAGUUCAGAAUGUCUUCCGCAAGAUAGGAACGGUCAUCUGGUAACCCUGCUGGCUCCAGCUCCCUCCUGGAAAAGCCUGGUGUUUUUUCCAAGCUAAUGAAUCUUUUCCCUUCGCUUCGAGAAUGGGAGUCGGAGGGGGUGAAAACAGAAGGCUGGAGAAUGACCAUAGCAGCCUGGAUCUUGCUCUGCUAAGCUGUCCACUGCUGGCUUCCUUUUCCCGUCUCCCUCUUUCCCUUCUUGGUGGUGGUGGGGGAGGAUCACCUUGCCAAGUGGUGAGGAGAUGCAUAACCUUCCCCUCGAGGGGCCCAAGACUGGGCCAAACUUCCAGGACCAGCUUUCUGUAAUAUGCACACCCUGGUUGCCCAUAUCCAGUCCAAGCUGAAACUACAUUGCUAAGCAGUUUCAGGCAUGUAGUUGAAGCAUGCACGUUGUAUCCACUCUACGUUCCUGGUCUGAUGGACUCUAAAACUACUGUUGAGAGUAUUACUGCAGUAUCAGGACACUUGGCUCAGGGGAUCUGUGUUCCCUGGAUACUAACAGCUGAAGAUGUGGUCAUGGUUUAUUUUGUAUAGCUACAUUUCCCCCAAAACAUGAUCAUAUCAUGUUUAACAUCUACAUGAAACCGCUGGGAGAGAUCAUCAGGAGAUUUGGUGCAGGGUGCUAUCAGUAUGCUGAUGACACCCAAAUCUGUUUCUCCAUUUCAGCAUCAUCAGGAGAGGGCAUAACCUCCCUAAAUGCCUGCCUGGAGUCGGUAAUGGGCUGGAUGAGGAAUAACAAACUGAGACUGAAUCCAGAUAAGACAGAGAUACUCAUUGUGCGGGGUCAGAACUCGAGAGAUGAUUUUGAUCUGGAUGGGGUCACACUUCCAUAGAAGGAACAGGAACGCAGUCUAGGGGUGCUUCUGGAUCCAAGCCUCUCCCUGGUUUCCCAGGUUGAGACGGUGGCCAGAAGUGCCUUCUGUCAGCUUUGGCUGAUACGCCAGCUGCAUCCGUUUCUUGAGGUGAACAACCUCAAAACAGUGGUACAUCUGCUGGUAACCUCCAGGCUGGAUUACUGUAAUGCACUCUAUGUGGGUCUGCCCUUGUACGUAGUCCGGAAACUACAGUCGGUCAAGAAUGCGGCAGCCAGGCUGGUCUCUGGGUCAUCUCGGAGAGACCAUAUAACUCCUGUUUUGAAGGAGCUACACUGGUGGCCAAUAUGUUUCUGGGCAAAAUACAAGCAGAGGCGUAUCUAGGGAAAAUAGCGCCUAGGGCAAGCACUGAAAUUGCACCCCCUGUCCAAGCAUCUGACACCCAUCUUUCAGAUAACUUCACCAUAAUAUCAGCUCAAAAAUACAAGUCAGGCUCGUUAAUCUUUUAAUAUUUCAAAAACUAUUUAGCAGUGAUCUUAGCCAGACCAAAAAAAUGCUGGAAAACUACAAAUUUCAGUAUGCUGCGGCUCAUGAAAUACCCAAAUACUAUGUGGAGGUGUACUUGGAAAACUAAACAGAAGUCCCUGUCUAAUUCUCUACUAUGCAUUUUAGCAUAAUCAUUACAUAAGUUUUAAAAAUAAAUGGAGAAUUUGACUUUUCCCAGAUACUCUGUAAAUAAUUAAAGGAUAUACAGAGUAAACUGUGUCACUGCUUGGAAUAUAUUCUAGUCUUUCAGAAAGACAGUUAAAAUAAGAGAAAGUGAGCAAGAAACUCCCAGUGGGCCUUAAUAUUAAGGAUUUCACACUGAUUCAAAGACAAACUCACCAUUAAUAGCCAUAUUAUUAAGACAUCACAUUUAACUCACUUAUCACAAGAAGCAAAGUAAGAGCAAAUGAAUACAAUCCUAGCUCAUAAGCAUCAGCUCAGUAUUCACAAGCCCUGAUUCUCUGUACAUAGUGCCAAUCUGAAUAUGUGUACAGGGUCUUAUAUUAUAUUAUUUAUUUAUUUAUUUUUAACCUGGAGCCCCUUUGGGGGGCUUCCUAAAUCCUGGGGGGGUUGCAAAAGUUCCCGCUCACCCCACUGGCCUCUAGGGCCUUGCAGGGACCAUUUGAGCAUGUGUGGUGGCCAUUUUUAAAAAUAAUCUUUUUUUUAAAGGCCCCU